rnacentral:misc_RNA from 1 species
UUUCCGUUGGUGAACCAGCGGAAGGAUCAUUAGCGAGGUAGGGUCUAAUACGCACGACGAACCAACCCUCUUUUUGUUGAACCUCUGUUGCUCCGGCGGACCCGUCGCACGCCCUCCCGAGCCCCGCUGCGAGGCGCCCUCCGGCCGGCGCCCGCCGAUGGCCAACCCACUAAACUCUGAAUGAAUCGUGUCAUAUGUCUAAGUCUAUGAAUAAAUCAAAGCAAAACUUUCAACAACGGAUCUCUUGGUUCUG